UGUGAAGGCUUAAAAAUUAAGUCUUUAGGUGGUAUGGUUAUCUGGGCCUCACUUUGACGUUCUCUAAUAGCUUUAUGAACUAUUUGUUUGUGCUUGAAUUGUUUUGAGUUGGUGUUAACCUUCUUGGUUGUUGUAAUGAGAUAUUACUCUCUGUUACAUUCUUAUGAUGUUGUUAAUGUGUGGAAAGUCAAAAUUCAUACAAAAGAUGGAUACUUUUCCUUCGAUUCCUAACUCCUUUGUUCAUUUUUAGAUGGAAGAAGUAGGAAUGUAAAGAAUAGCAACUACAUUAAG
rnacentral:misc_RNA from 1 species